UGGGGAAUCUUAGACAAUGGGGGCAACCCUGAUCUAGCCAUGCCGCGUGAGUGAUGAAGGCCCUAGGGUUGUAAAGCUCUUUCAGCUGGGAAGAUAAUGACGGUACCAGCAGAAGAAGCCCCGGCUAACUCCGUGCCAGCAGCCGCGGUAAUACGGAGGGGGCUAGCGUUGUUCGGAAUUACUGGGCGUAAAGCGCGCGUAGGCGGAUCAGCAAGUUAGGGGUGAAAUCCCGGGGCUCAACCUCGGAACUGCCCUUAAAACUGUUGGUCUUGAGUUCGAGAGAGGUGAGUGGAAUUCCGAGUGUAGAGGUGAAAUUCGUAGAUAUUCGGAGGAACAUCAGUGGCGAAGGCGGCUCACUGGCUCGAUACUGACGCUGAGGUGCGAAAGCGUGGGGAGCAAACAG
rnacentral:rRNA from 1 species